rnacentral:rRNA from 1 species
AUUGAACGCUGGCGGCGUGCUUAACACAUGCAAGUCGAUCGGUAACGCGGGGGCAACCCUGGCGACGAGAGGCGGACGGGUGAGGAACGCUUGGGAAUCUGCCCUUCAGCGGGGGACAACACGGGGAAACUCGUGCUAAUACCGCAUACGCUCCACGGAGGAAAGCCGGGGACCGCAAGGCCUGGCACUGAAGGAUGAGCCCAAGUCGGAUUAGCUAGUUGGCGGGGUAACGGCCCACCAAGGCGACGAUCCGUAGCUGGUCUGAGAGGACGAUCAGCCACACUGGGACUGAGACACGGCCCAGACUCCUACGGAAGGCAGCAGUGGGGAAUAUUGGACAAUGGGCGAAAGCCUGAUCCAGCGACGCCGCGUGGGUGAAGAAGGCCUGCGGGUUGUAAAGCCCUUUCGGUAGGGACGAAAGCUUCCGACCUAACACGUCGGGAGGUUGACUUAACCUACAAAAGAAGCACCGGCUAACUCUGUGCCAGCAGCCGCGGUAAGAC